UCACAGUGGAAGGAGCUGCUGAGCAUGUGCAGCAGCAGCAGCUCCUGUGCGUAAACGAACUCAGUCAGAAUCUCCUUCUCCUCUCUUAAAUUGGCUGUGGAGAGGAGCCAGGCUGCCAUCACUUGGAACAGUCAUCCGGAAGGAUUGGUCAUCGACUAGGAGACAAAAGACCCACUGCAUGGCAAGCAGAUACCGGGUUACCAUGACUACCGGGCACUACUUUCGGUCUCAGAUCUCCGGGUCCGGGUGGCACUUAUGCCCGUUCCAUAUGAGUAAUCUGGCACCUGUGAUCUAAAUAUGACGAGGACAACCAAGUCCCGGCUCGGAUCCACUUGGAAUGGGUGUCUCUUUAAGUUUUUGUUGUCAGAAGCCAAGUGGGCAUUUUAUUUAUUUUUUGUCUGUAUGCAAUUGGAUUUUUCCAUAUAUU